ensembl:snoRNA SNORA73 Small nucleolar RNA SNORA73 family
CCAACGUGGAUAACCCAGGAGGUCACUCUCCCCGGGCUCUGUCCAGGUGGCAUAGGGGAGCAUAGGGCUCUGCCCCAUGAUGUACAGUCCCUUUCCACAAUGUUGGACAUGAAGCUGGGCUUUGUGUCUGCACCUGCAUAUUCCUACGACUUCUCAGUGGAGACAAACCAUGCAGGAAACAAUA